rnacentral:rRNA from 1 species
AUUGAACGCUAGCGGGAUGCCUUACACAUGCAAGUCGAACGGAGUGGCGAACGGGUGAGUAAUGUAUCGUACCGUGCCCAGUAGCGGGGGAUAACUACGCGAAAGCGUAGCUAAUACCGCAUACUAUUGGAGCGGCCGAUAUCGGAUUAGCUCGUUGGGCGGGUAACGGCUCACCAAGGUGACGAUCCGUAGAUGGUUGGAGAGGACGACCAGCCACACUGGGAGUGAGACACGGCCCAGACUCCUACGGGAGGCAGCAGUGGGGAAUUUUGGAAAAUGGGGGAAACCCUGAUCCAGCCAUACCGGGGGGGCGAGGAAGGCCUUCGGGUUGUAAAGCACGUUUGGCAGGAAAGCGGUACCUGCAGAAUAAGCACCGGCUAACUACGUGCCAGCAGCCGCGGUAAUAC